GAUGAACGCUGGCGGCGUGCCUAAUACAUGCAAGUCGAGCGAACAGACGAGGAGCUUGCUUCUCUGACGUUAGCGGCGGACGGGUGAGUAACACGUGGAUAACCUACCUAUAAGACUGGGAUAACUUUGGGAAACCGGAGCUAAUACCGGAUAAUAUAUUGAACCGCAUGGUUCAAUAGUGAAAGACGGUUUUGCUGUCACUUAUAGAUGGAUCCGCGCCGCAUUAGCUAGUUGGUAAGGUAACGGCUUACCAAGGCGACGAUGCGUAGCCGACCUGAGAGGGUGAUCGGCCACACUGGAACUGAGACACGGUCCAGACUCCUACGGGAGGCAGCAGUAGGGAAUCUUCCGCAAUGGGCGAAAGCCUGGCGGAGCAACGCCGCGUGAGUGAUGAAGGUCUUCGGAUCGUAAAACUCUGUUAUUAGGGAAGAACAAAUGUGUAAGUAACUAUGCACGUCUUGACGGUACCUAAUCAGAAAGCCACGGCUAACUACGUG
rnacentral:rRNA from 1 species